rnacentral:rRNA from 1 species
UCGAGAAUCUUCCGCAAUGGGCGCAAGCCUGACGGAGCGACACCGCGUGCAGGAUGAAGGCCUUCGGGUUGUAAACUGCUGUCACGCCAUAGGAAUGUCAAACGGUAAACAGUCGUUUGAUUGACUAAAGCGAGAGGAAGAGCCGGCUAACUCUGUGCCAGCAGCCGCGGUAAUACAGAGGGUGCAAGCGUUAAUCGGAAUGACUGGGCGUAAAGGGCGCGUAGGUGGUUGCCUAAGUUAGAUGUGAAAGCCCCGGGCUUAACCUGGGAAUUGCAUCCAAUACUGGGUAACUUGAGUAGAGUAGAGGGGAGUGGAAUUUCCGGUGUAGCGGUGGAAUGCGUAGAUAUCGGAAGGAACACCAGUGGCGAAGGCGGCUCCCUGGACUCAUACUGACACUGAAGCGCGAAAGCGUGGGGAGCAAACAGGAUUAGAUACCCAUGUAGUCCCUGAGCGGGCUGGCAAGGCGCAU